ACACAGGUUAUUCAGACAGGUAGACAUUGUUGAGAGUCAGGUUUGAGUAUAGGACUAAACCCAUGCUUCUGAUUUUCCUGCCCAGGUAGGAGGAGGCUUCAGUACUGGCAAGAAAAUGGCUUUAUUACCAGCCCCAUGUUAUAUGAAUUCUGAAUUUUUCUCUUUGCUUUCCAAGACAUUGGCUUCUCUGUUGCUUUGUUUGAGUCAGUUUAGUUUAAUUUUUCAUUAUGACAGAUUUUCGCCUCCAAUUCUUUAUUUAGAGCAUAGCUCUCAAACUUGUUCAUUCUGUAAUCCCUUUGAGGGUUUGCACAGCCCUCAAACAUACCUUGAAACAGUUUGCUACCAAAAUAAAAGCACGGAAGAAUCAUGUGGCUGUUGAGAUGAAAAAAAAAACCACACAGGUAAUAUUUUUUAUUUCGAAGGAAAGCAGUAGGCUCUGAGUGCAGAGGAGGAAAGGGGACAGAAAGGGGAGAAAAGGCAUGGUGGUCAGGGCUCUUGGUCUCAUAGCUAGAGAAAAUCAUCAGAAGGUAUUUGUAUAAAUCCAAAGGCUCCCCGGCCAAGCAGAUGUUCAGAGUAUCAUAGCUCCGGGCUUGGAGUUCUUUCGGAUUGUCCCUGGGGAAACGCUACAUCGUCUGAGAAAUAAGAACAGUGAUGUGGAAGGAGCAACUCGUUCUUCUUUGUGCGCAUUCUCUGCUUUUCUUUCUCCUCUGCCCCAAUCCUCUCCUCGCUCCUCUCUCUGGAUUGCCCCCAUAGGCCUCCUUGCCACUUGCCCACUCCUUCGGAAGAGAUCUGAGGCUCUCGUCCAUUUCUUUGUGAUUCCUGAAGCCUUCGUGGACUUUUGCCUUCCAACCUGGGCUUGUUAUCUCUUACUGGUUAGCAGGGAUUGGCGUCCAGUAAAUCCCAGCAGCCGUUCUCUUUAGCCUGUUCAUCGUAUUUGUACGUGGUUUUCCUGAGUUGAUAAACCCGCGGCUGUUUUUCUCUUCAAGUUCCCCCUUCAGUUUCUGUGCUAAUGAACAACUUCCUGCCUUGAGGCUCUGGUAAGUGCAAUGAAGGCACCGGGAGUGCAGAGUUUAGCCAGGGCCUUACGAGACCUUAACCCAGCAUUGUGUGCCCGUUGGGUGACUCUCCUUUUUGGACUUGGACGAAAGACUUAUUAAUACUUAAGAGUAUCAGCUUUUUCCUCAUAUGAAGACUGUAUAGCCACAGGAGGCUCAGCUGCCAUCAAGGUUGGCAGUUGUUCCUUCCAAAGUCCUCUCUGAUGCCUGAUUCUCAUUGGGCCAACCCUACGACUGCUCGCUUUGUGACACAGCACUAAGAAUUCUGUCUGUGCAUUCUCCUCAGUCUCCUAGUCUAACAAUAGCAGACUCAGUGAAUAUCUUGUAACAGAAAAUGUUAAACUAAUUUCCACAGUGGCUUCAUGUGUUCAAAUCCCCAUCAACUGCGAACCAUCUAGCUUCGUGAGUUUUGCUGUCAACAACUAGAGGUACCCUAAGAAGCAAGAAGUUCAGCUAUAUGGUGGAUCAAGACAAUUAUUAAACUCAGGAAAGAAUGAAAU
rnacentral:sRNA from 1 species